rnacentral:rRNA from 1 species
AAUAGAUACCCUGGUAGUCCACGCCGUAAGCGAUGAGUGCUAAGUGUUAGAGGGUUUCCGCCCUUUAGUGCUGAAGUUAACGCAUUAAGCACUCCGCCUGGGGAGUACGGUCGCAAGACUGAAACUCAAAGGAAUUGACGGGGGCCCGCACAAGCGGUGGAGCAUGUGGUUUAAUUCGAAGCAACGCGAAGAACCUUACCAGGUCUUGACAUCCUCUGACAACCCUAGAGAUAGGGCUUUCCCUUCGGGGACAGAGUGACAGGUGGUGCAUGGUUGUCGUCAGCUCGUGUCGUGAGAUGUUGGGUUAAGUCCCGCAACGAGCGCAACCCUUGAUCUUAGUUGCCAGCAUUCAGUUGGGCACUCUAAGGUGACUGCCGGUGACAAACCGGAGGAAGGUGGGGAUGACGUCAAAUCAUCAUGCCCCUUAUGACCUGGGCUACACACGUGCUACAAUGGACGGUACAAAGAGUCGCAAGACCGCGAGGUGGAGCUAAUCUCAUAAAACCGGUUCUCAGUUCGGA